rnacentral:rRNA from 1 species
AUUGAACGCUGGCGGCAGGCCUAACACAUGCAAGUCGAACGAGUGGCGGACGGGUGAGUAAUGUCUGGGACACUGCCCGAUGGAGGGGGAUAACUACUGGAAACGGUAGCUAAUACCGCCUACCAUCGGAUGUGCCCAGAUGGGAUUAGCUUGUAGGUGAGGUAACGGCUCACCUAGGCGACGAUCCCUAGCUGGUCUGAGAGGAUGACCAGCAAAACUGGAAUGUGGAAACGGUCCAGACUCCUACGGGAGGCAGCAGUGGGGAAUAUUGCACAAGGGGCGUAAGCGUGAUGCAGCCAUGCCGCGUGGAUGAAGAAGGCCUGCGGGUUGUAAAGUACGGUCAGCGGGGAGGCGGUACCCGCAGAAGAAGCACCGGCUAACUCCGUGCCAGCAGCCGCGGUAAUUC